GUUUUCUAUACUUACGAGAGAUGGUAUAUGAGGCAUGGACGAUGGAAAAUAAAUAUCUAAAACUCUGAGAUCCAA
rnacentral:snoRNA from 1 species